AUACGGAGGGGGCUAGCGUUGUUCGGAAUCACUGGACGUAAAGCGCUCGUAGGCGGAUUGGUCAGUCAGAGGUGAAAUCCCAAGGUUCAACCUUGGAACUGCCUUUGAUACUGCCAGUCUUGAGGUCGAGAGAGGUAAGUGGAAUUCCUAGUGUAGAGGUGAAAUUCGUAGAUAUUAGGAAGAACACCAGUGGCGAAGGCGACUUACUGGCUCGAUUCUGACGCUGAGGAGCGAAAGCGUGGGGAGCAAACAGGAUUAGAAACCCUAGUAGUCC
rnacentral:rRNA from 1 species